CUUUGAGAGGUUGAAGUGAUUGUGCUCUCAAACCCAACCAAGUUACCAGGUAUUUAAAUAAUGUCGGACCAAUCUCCAAAACAAACAAUGUCCCAACAAUCUACAGAAAAAACAAUGUCAGAACA